GUAGUCUCGCACAGAUGCAUAUCAAUAAGCGGAGGAAAAGAGACUAACAAGGAUUCCCUCAGUAACGGCGAGUGAAGCGGGAAGAGCUCAAAUUUGAAAUCUUGAAAGGUCACCUUUCACGAAUUGUAGUUUAAAGAAGUGUUUUCUGUUACGAUCGUAAUAUAAGUUCUUUGGAAUAGGACAUCACAGAGGGUGAGAAUCCCGUCUAUGAUUGCGAUUUGUAGCUUUGUGAUACACUUUCAAAGAGUCGGGUUGUUUGGGAAUGCAGCCCAAAACGGGAGGUAAAUUUCUUCUAAGGCUAAAUAUUGGCGAGAGACCGAUAGCGAACAAGUACCGUGAGGGAAAGAUGAAAAGAACUUUGAAAAGAGAGUUAAACAGUACGUGAAAUUGUCAAAAGGGAAGCGUUUGACACCAGUGUUGUUUUCUCGAAAAUCAAUUAAAAAGAGUUAGAUUUUGUUGUGUAUUGACCUUAACAGCUUGCAUUUCAAUUUCUUGCUUUUUUUAAUGCACUUUUCGUUUAACAAGUCAACAUCAGUUUCUUUUGUUGUAAAAAGGUCAUUGGAAGGUGGCUUUCUUUUCGGAGAAAGUGUUUAUAGCCUUUGACUCCUGCAAUCGGAGAGACUGAGGUCUGCAGCGUAGAUCCUUCGGGGUUAGAUACAUUUGUGCUAAGUUAUAGCUUUUUAUAGACAACUUGUUGACUAUGAUUAGUCUUGUAGCUUACUCGCUUAUGCUAUUUUACCUACGCUUAGGAUGUUGAAGAUGUAGCACAUCAU
rnacentral:rRNA from 1 species